rnacentral:tRNA from 1 species
GGGGUUGUGGCUCAGCGGUAGAGCGCCCGUCUAGCACGUGCAAGUCCCUGAGUUCGAUCCUCAGCUCCA